UGUAUAUAGUAUAUAUAAAUAGUAUUCAAUUAGGCAGCGUGUGAAUAGGAGCGCAAGUUGUCCGCCCAUCGAAAUGCGUUUGAAUCUGAAGACGGUGGCGUCAUUGUCAGGCGGCGGCAACUGCUCAGCUGGGGGUCAAAACGCCAGCGGGCAAAUGGAUAACAACAACAGCAACAUCAACAACAACAACAAUGCCGAUAACAACAAAGAAUCAAGCACAACAAUUUCAUUUCAAUAAUUUGAAUUUCAAAUCUCUUUUUCGCAAUGAUCCAAUGCCCAACGCUAAGGCUAAGGCUAAGGCAGUGAGCUCGAGGCCCAUUCUCUAACCUCUUGGACCUGUGUUAAUGUAAAAGUUGUUCGAUUUGUCAAAGCAAAAGUCACGAUUAUUAGUCUUCAUUAGAGGCGGGGCAUUACCAUCACCAUCACCAUCACUUCCACUUCCACCCCCUCGCAAGUCCAACACACAUCCAUAUGUCAACCCAAACCACAAGAAUUCCCAACCACAAAAACCGCAUUGCAGCUUAUCGAAGAGCUGAAACAAACGGAAUGGAACGACUUGAACCCGUAACUAAGUGUCAUUAAGUAGAAACAUUGGAAUGGAACACUAAAAUUAAUAUAAUGAAAUGGAACGAUUUGAACCAUCAACUAAGUGACCAUAAAUGGGA